GCCGGUCGUUUGGAUGGCCGUAGACACCCUUCGCUCGACUCGUAAUGAGAAGGUCGUCGGUUCGAUUCCGACAGGCGGCUCCA
rnacentral:tRNA from 1 species